rnacentral:rRNA from 1 species
UAGUAGGUUAAAAGGACUUUGAAAGAGGGUUAAACAGCACGUGAAAUUGUUAAAAGGGAAGCGCUUGUGACCAGACUUGCGUUCGGUGAAUCACCCAGCUCUCGCGGCUGGGGCACUUCGCCGGCUCAGGCCAGCAUCAGCUCGCUGUCGGGGACAAAAGCUUCAGGAACGUAGCUCUCUUCGGGGAGUGUUAUAGCCUGUUGCAUAAUACCCUUCGGCGGGCUGAGGUACGCGCUCCGCAAGGAUGCUGGCAUAAUGGUCAUCAGCGACCCGUCUUGAAACACGGACCAAAAGGGGGGGGGGGGGGCGUUAUGCCAGCAUCCUUGCGGAGCGCGUACCUCAGCCCCCGGAAGGGUGUUAUGAAACAGGCUAUAACACUCCCGAAAAAAACUCUUUCGGUAUAUAGAUAGGGGUCCCCCAUACCGUAAAUACUUGCCUGAUCCGGCCGAGUGCCCCCCCCUCGUUAGCUGGGUGUG